GAUGAAGAACGCAGCGAAAUGCGAUACGUAAUGUGAAUUGCAGAAUUCAGUGAAUCAUCGAAUCUUUGAACGCAUAUUGCGCUCUUUGGUAUUCCGAAGAGCAUGCUUGUUUGAGUAUCAGUAAACACCUCAAAGACUUCAAUUUGUUUUGAAUGGCUUUGGACUUGAGCAAUCCCAACACCAGUCUUUACGAUCGGUGGAGGGUUGCUUGAAAUGCAGGUGCAGCUGGACAUUCUCCUGAGCUAAAAGCAUAUUUAUUUAGUCCCGUCAAACGGAUUAUUACUUUUGCUGCAGCUAACAUAAAGGGAGUUUGACCGUAUUGGCUGACUGAUGCAGGAUUUCACAAGGGUCGGCAACGAUUCUUGUAAAACUCGAUCUCAAAUCAAGUAAGACUACCCGCUGAACUUAAGCAUAUCAAUAGCGGAGGA
rnacentral:misc_RNA from 1 species